rnacentral:tRNA from 1 species
UCUUCCUUAGCUCAGUUGGUUAGAGCAUCUGACUGUUAAUCAGAGGGUCCUUGGUUCGAGCCCAAGAGAAAGAGCAA